rfam:Trichobilharzia regenti genome assembly, scaffold: TRE_scaffold0003663
AUCCAGAUGAGGAGUCCCAAGUAGGACAAAAUGCGCAUCGUGGAU